AACGAACGCUGGCGGCAGGCCUAACACAUGCAAGUCGAGCGAGGACUUCGGUUCUAGCGGCGGACGGGUGAGUAACGCGUGGGAAUGUGCCCUUCUCUACGGAAUAGCCCUGGGAAACUGGGAGUAAUACCGUAUACGCCCUUUUGGGGAAAGAUUUAUCGGAGAAGGAUCAGCCCGCGUUGGAUUAGGUAGUUGGUGGGGUAAUGGCCUACCAAGCCGACGAUCCAUAGCUGGUUUGAGAGGAUGAUCAGCCACACUGGGACUGAGGCACGGCCCAGACUCCUACGGGAGGCAGCAGUGGGGAAUCUUAGACAAUGGGGGCAACCCUGAUCUAGCCAUGCCGCGUGAGUGAUGAAGGCCUUAGGGUUGUAAAGCUCUUUCAGCUGGGAAGAUAAUGACGGUACCAGCAGAAGAAGCCCCGGCUAACUCCGUG
rnacentral:rRNA from 1 species